rnacentral:rRNA from 1 species
GAUGAACGCUGGCGGCGCGCCUAACACAUGCAAGUCGAACGAUUAAAGCACCUUCGGGUGUGUAUAAAGUGGCGAACGGCUGAGUAACACGUGGGCAACCUGCCCCUUUCAUUGGGAUAGCCACGGGAAACCGUGGAUAAUACCGAAUACUUCGAGACUUCCGCAUGGAAGACUCGAGAAAGCUCCGGCGGAGUGGGAUGGGCCCGCGGCCUGUUAGCUUGGUGGUGGGGUAACGGCCUACCAAGGCAAUGAUGGGUAGCUGGGUUGAGAGACCGACCAGCCAGAUUGGGACUGAGACACGGCCCAGACUCCUACGGGAGGCAGCAGUGGGGAAUCUUGCACAAUGGGCGAAAGCCUGAUGCAGCGACGCCGCGUGCGGGAUGAAGGCCUUCGGGUUGUAAACCGCUUUCAGCAGGGACGAGGCGAAAGUGACGGUACCUGCAGAAGAAGCCCCGGCUAACUACGUG